GACAGAGGGUGCAAACGUUGUUCGGAAUUACUGGGCGUAAAGCGAGUGUAGGCGGUCUGCUAAGUCGGAUGUGAAAGCCCCGGGCUCAACUCGGGAAGUGCACUCGAAACUGGCAGGCUAGAGUAUCGGAGAGGUUGGUGGAAUUCUCGGUGUAGAGGUGAAAUUCGUAGAUAUUAGGAAGAACACCAGUGGCGAAGGCGGCUCACUGGUCCGGUACUGACGCUGAGGUGCGAAAGCGUGGGGAGCAAACAGG
rnacentral:rRNA from 1 species